UGGCAGUGAUGACUAUCUUAGGACACCUUUGGAGUAACCAUGAAAUAAUAAUAUUUUUCCUGAGCCGU
ensembl:snoRNA SNORD58 Small nucleolar RNA SNORD58